rnacentral:sRNA from 1 species
GAGCAAUCCCGGACGUAUUCCAAAUCCGUUUAAGAAACCGCCUGCACGCACUGGCGCCCCGCACGCGCUCGACGAUACUUGAACUGUCGUCGCGUCAUACCCCCCCAAGUGACGCGUCGGCAAGGCGUUGAUAGACCAUACGCCUGUUGUGACUCCUGAUGGUCUUGACCCGGAAUUCUCUCCCCAAGAACCCGG